rnacentral:rRNA from 1 species
AGAGUUUGAUCCUGGCUCAGGAUGAACGCUAGCGAUAGGCUUAACACAUGCAAGUCGAGGGGCAGCAUGAUCUUAGCUUGCUAAGGUUGAUGGCGACCGGCGCACGGGUGCGUAACGCGUAUGCAACUUGCCUUACAGAGGGGGAUAACCCGUUGAAAGACGGACUAAAACCGCAUACACUUGUAUUAUUGCAUGAUAUUACAAGGAAAUAUUUAUAGCUGUAAGAUAGGCAUGCGUCCCAUUAGCUAGUUGGUGAGGUAACGGCUCACCAAGGCGACGAUGGGUAGGGGAACUGAGAGGUUUAUCCCCCACACUGGUACUGAGACACGGACCAGACUCCUACGGGAGGCAGCAGUGAGGAAUAUUGGUCAAUGGGCGAGAGCCUGAACCAGCCAAGUCGCGUGAAGGAAGACAGUCCUAAGGAUUGUAAACUUCUUUUAUACGGGAAUAACGGGCGAUACGAGUAUUGCAUUGAAUGUACCGUAAGAAUAAGCAUCGGCUAACUCCGUGCCAGCAGCCGCGGUAAUACGGAGGAUGCGAGCGUUAUCCGGAUUUAUUGGGUUUAAAGGGUGCGUAGGUUGUUCGGUAAGUCAGCGGUGAAACCUGAGCGCUCAACGUUCAGCCUGCCGUUGAAACUGCCGGGCUUGAGUUCAGUGGCGGCAGGCGGAAUUCGUGGUGUAGCGGUGAAAUGCAUAGAUAUCACGAGGAACUCCGAUUGCGAAGGCAGCUUGCCAUACUGCGACUGACACUGAAGCACGAAGGCGUGGGUAUCAAACAGGAUUAGAUACCCUGGUAGUCCACGCAGUAAACGAUGAUUACUAGGAGUUUGCGAUAUACCGUCAAGCUUCCACAGCGAAAGCGUUAAGUAAUCCACCUGGGGAGUACGCCGGCAACGGUGAAACUCAAAGGAAUUGACGGGGGCCCGCACAAGCGGAGAACAUGUGGUUUAAUUCGAUGAUACGCGAGGAACCUUACCCGGGAUGAAAUGUAGAUGACGAUGGUGAAAACGUCUCCCUUCGGGCGUCUAUGUAAGUGCUGCAUGUUGUCGUCAGCUCGUGCCGUGAGGUGUC